CGAAUAUGGUUUUUUUUCUUUUUUAUGCUAGUCAUUUCUGAAUACGCUUCAAGCGCUUUACGUGCAGCGACCGCCCGUGUGUGUUACACGCCCGCGCGCCAGCGAGCGCGCAUUAUGUUCGCGCGCAUGAAUUACGAAUUACGGAAGAUCGUGUUCGAAGAUGACCUACAUACGCAACGAGCUACGACGUCAGGCGAUAGCUAGCCUCGAUCCCUUUAUGUCGCGUCGCGGAGAGGAAAGUGGUGGGCUUGGAAAAAAAAGGGUUCGUCGGUCACCGGCUUCCUUUGCACGCUGAAAUUCCCGCGCUCGCCCGCCGCGCGCGGAUGGCUCGCUUACAUUGUAAGCCGUGAGAAAGAAAAGGCUCCCGAGCGUCUUGCACGUGCACCAAACAUUUCUCGGCGUGCCAAUUUCACCGAUCGACUUUGUUACACGGUGAUUCUCGCGAUAACGUUCUAGUGAAUCUCUUUUCGACGAUAUACUUUUGAUUUACGUUAGAAAUGAUCGUACGUUAGAAAUCGUUACGACUCGUCGAGUAUUUCUUUUCGGCGUACCUUCUUAUACCGCUUACAUUUUAAAAAGAUCCCAUCCUAUUUAUGUUUCAGGAGUUACAUUCAAAGCGCACAGGUUAAUUCUCGCAGCAUGCAGCAAGCACUUUCAGGAGCUCUUCUUGGCGGAAGGAAUCUCCCGUCAUCUCCCGCGGGACUGAUCGUUAUUCUCGAUGGUCCACAAUAUGGUGUCCCUCCUCGAAUUCAUGUACCGUGGAGAGGUACAUGUGUUCCAGGAAUCCCUCAGCCCCUCCCUCCUUCCUCAAGGCAGCUGAAUGCCUUCAAGUAUGUGCCUGUCUCUUUUUCUGUAAAUAAUGACCUUAAAUAAUGUUUCCCGAAUUGUACACGUGGCGCAUGAAGCGACCUCCCAAACUCGCGCUCGCCUGAAGUUUCUACAUGUCACUUGUGUCGUGGAAGCUCGAGAGAAUUAAAUCAUUUGUCAAGCUCUCCUCGAAAACACGUUGUCGCCUCUGUAAAUUAUUCCGUGCUUUAAUCCAGUAUAUUCGAGCAUUUAUUGUAAAAUGGCACGGUUUUACAUAUUUAAUUGAAAUGUACAUAGCGGCAGGUGCUGCUUAUAUCAACUGCACAAAAUUCAUUAACAUAAUCCACACGUUGACAUUCACGUGAAUUCAAAUGCGAUAAAUAUUUUCUUAAUCCCCUUUUACUUUAGUACAUAUAAUAUUUUUAUACCAUUUCUCAGUACAUGUUUCUAAAAUAUGAUGGUCUUAAAUCCAGGUUAAGGGUCUGUCGAUCAUCGAGCAUGAGAAGCUGGCGUCAUCGCCAGCCAUGGCGCAGAGGCACGCCACGGAGGACAGCAACACUUUCGCGGAUAUAGAGAGUAACGGAGGCGGAGGCGAUGGUGGCAGCGUCGAGGAUAGCGUUGGCAGCGGUAGCAUCAGUGGUAUCAUCGGCAACGGGGGCGGCGGCGAUAUGAGCAACAUGAACGAGGCAAGCGAAGCCACCAUGGUCGGAAACAUCAUGAGGAGGACCCCCCACACCGCCAUCGCCCCCGCCCCGGCGUACACCGUCCCCAGCGUGUACUCCAUUUCUCAUUAUUACGAGAGCCCACCGAAGAGGCUGAUGAGAUCGCCGAGCGAUGUCGAUUCGCUGGGAAGAGCGAGCGUGUUGCGCGACGGCACUGCCUUUCGCCCGCCGUCCGUCCCGCAUCCGCUUCUGCUGAAGAACCACUUCUACCAACCGUUCAUCCAUCCCUCCAAAACUUCUUUGCAUUCCCACACUGCGCCGCACACACCCACGAAACUGGAACAGCAGCUAGAAUGAGCGCGGUCCGAGGAGCGCCGCAACUGUGAUCUCAAGGAAAACGUUGCCGAAGAUCUUUGAAUAAAGCAGAAGUCAGUGGCGUUGAUCGAUCGGGAGAUGGCGGAAAAGUUGGCGGAGAAAUUGUCAAACCGGGA